rnacentral:tRNA from 1 species
CCUCCUUAACGAAAGAUUGACGAUUGGUAAGAAUCCACAACAAGUUGUUCUUCAUGACGAUGUAUCUGAGGGUCUGUAGCUCAGUUGGUUAGAGCACACGCUUGAUAAGCGUGGGGUCACAAGUUUAAGUCUUGUCAGACCCACCAAAUCUGACUAACAAGCAUUAUUAAAUGCUGAAUACAGAAAAACAGAGACAUUGACUUAUUGAUAAGCUGGGGACUUAGCUUAGUUGGUAGAGCGCCUGCUUUGCACGCAGGAGGUCAGGAGUUCGACUCUCCUAGUCUCCACCAUAUAUUGUUCAUCAAUAUAUAAGCUAAGUAGUUAGAUUAUAGAAAUUAGUAAGAAGUAGACAUUAGUUUGCAUUUUAUUAACUUCUGUGAUUUAUCACAGUUUCCUGACCUGACGAAGGCUGGAAAAAUCAUUAACAGAAUAUAUUUGAGUUGAAAUAAUUGGUUCAUACUCGUUUUUAAAAUUGAA